CACUUCUAAGGAAGGCAGCAGGCGCGCAAAUUACCCAAUCCUGACUCAGGGAGGUAGUGACAAGAAAUAACAAUAAACCGGCUUAUGCCGGUUUAAUUGGAAUGAGUACAAUUUAAACAUCUUAACGAGGAACAAUUGGAGGGCAAGUCUGGUGCCAGCAGCCGCGGUAAUUCCAGCUCCAAUAGCGUAUACUAAAGUUGUUGCAGUUAAAAAGCUCGUAGUUGGAUUUCUGUGGGGACGGAGCGGCCGGCCGCAACUCGCGGUUCGAGCUAGCGCUUUCCCUACAUCCUGCUGCGAACCGUGCUACCAUUAGUUUGGUGGCGCCGGGGAUCGGCUCGAUUACUUUGAGAAAAAUAGAGUGUUCAAAGCAGGCCACACGCCUUGAAUAAGUUAGCAUGGAAUAAUAACUAAGGACUUCGGUUCUAUUUUGUUGGUGUUCGGGACUGAAGUAAUGAUUGAUAGGGACAGUUGGGGCGGUCUGUAUUCCAAAGCGAGAGGUGAAAUUCUUAGACCUUCGGAAGACAAACAGCUGCGAAAGCGUUCCGCAAGGAUGUUCCCUUUGAUCAAGAACGAAAGUUGGGGGAUCGAAGACGAUCAGAUACCGUCGUAGUCUCAACUAUAAACUAUACCAGCUAGGGAUCGGCCAACGUUAUUUAAACCGACUUGGUCGGCACCUUAUGAGAAAUCAAAGCAUCUGGGUUCCGGGGGGAGUAUGGUCGCAAGGCUGAAACUUAAAGGAAUUGACGGAAGGGCACCACCAGCCGUGGAGCCUGUGGCUUAAUUUGACUCAACACGGGAAAACUUACCAGGUCCAGACAUAGUAAGGAUUGACAGAUUGAUAGCUCUUUCUUGAUUCUGUGGGUGGUGGUGCAUGGCCGUUCUUAGUUGGUGGAGUGAUUUGUCUGGUUAAUUCCGUUAACGAACGAGACCCCAGCCUGCUAAAUAGCGCGUGUGAGCUUUGCUCGCAGCGAGCUUCUUAGAGGGACUAUGAUGCGCGAUAGCACAUGGAAGUUUGGGGCAAUAACAGGUCUGUGAUGCCCUUAGAUGUUCUGGGCCGCACACGGGCUACACUGGCGCCUGCAACGAGCAUAUCAGCUGGCCCGAGAGGGUCUUGGCUAAUCUUUUGAACCGGCGCCGUGCUUGGGAUUGACCUUUGCAAUUGUUGGUCAUGCAACGAGGAAUGCCUUGUAAACGCGAGUCAUCAGCUCGCAUUGAAUACGUCCCUGCCCUUUGUACACACCGCCCGUCGCUCCUACCGAUGAAUGUUCCGAUGAAAUUUUCGGAGAGCACCUGUGAACUUGGCUCUGCCUUGCGAACGGGAGGCUCAAAGUCACUUAAAUCUGAACAUUUCGAGG
rnacentral:rRNA from 1 species